GCCUCUGUGGCGGAACUGGUAGACGCGAUAGACUCAAAAUCUGUUGUUCGUAAGGACGUGCUGGUUCGAUUCCGGCCAGGGGCACCA
rnacentral:tRNA from 1 species